ensembl:lncRNA novel transcript
UGGCGUAAUCUCAGCUCACUGCAACCUCUGCCUCCCGGGAUCAAGCGAUUCUCCUUCCUCAGCCUCCCGAGUAGCUGGGAUUACAGGUUCAAGAGAUUCUUCUGCCUCAGCCUCCCAAGUAGCUGGCACUGCAGACACGCACCACCACACCCAGGCUACACAGAACAACAUCAUUAGCAACAUUGUUUCAGCAAGGAAAUAAUCCUUAUUGGCAAAGGGAAACCAAGGAAAGAAAACUAUUGUUUUCUUCGGCUACAUGCUGUCUGCAAAGCACCCCAUGGAUUCAAUUUCUCAUCAAUUCAGAAUGGAAUACUAACGUGCUGCCUAGAGAUACAGAAGUGGGAUGAACGCAGGGCCUUACUCAGCAUUCAGAACAAAACUGAUGGUGCUAGCAUAUAUAAGACUGAAACACCAAAGUCCUCCGUGGAAGUUAAUGAAUUUCUAAUAGUGAAAUAAGGUGGCCAAGGAGGCAGAGAUGGAGUCAGGGACUCUGUGAUCAACCCUGAGGAUUGGGAAGGAACUAUACAUACCAGGAGGCAAGGAGCACUGGGGGCCCUCCUGGAACUGCCUGUCACAGCGUCCUCAAAGGAUGGAACAGAUUAUUUCUACAGAAACCCUAAGUUUUAAAAAGAAAAAAUGCACAACAUUCCCAGAAGACCAGCAGCAGGAGCGACAUUCCACAACCUUGAAUUUAAGGUGCUUCCUGUUUACUUCUCUGUGAAUUAUCAUUGCCACCUCUGUGAAAUCACCUAGCCACAUGAGGUAGCAAAGCUGCCUGCCACCCAACGGGCUGCAGGGGGAACUGUUUCAUUUGUAUUAGAGUUCUUCAAAGAAAGAGGGAGAAAGAGUGAGAAAGAAAGAUUAUGGAAAUUCACUCAUAUGAUUACGGGAGUCAAAAAGUCCCACCAUCUGCCUUCUUCAAGCUGGAGAACCAGGAAAGUCAGUGGUGUAAUUCAGUCCAAGUCCAAAGGCCUGAGAACCACGGGAGCCAAUGGUAUAAGUCCCAGUCUGAAGCCAAAGGCCUGAGAACCACUGGCAGGAGGGCAGAGGAGUCUUGCUGGUAUAAGACCCAUAAUCCAAAGGACUGAGAACCAGGAAGCUUUGAUGUCCAAGAGAAGGAGAAGAUGGAUAUCCUUGCUCAUGCUUCUUCUGCCUUUUAUUCCUAUUUGAGCCCACAACAGAUUGGAUGAUGUCUGCCCACUUUAGUGAGGGAAGAUUUUUUUUACCCGGUCUACUUAUUCAAAUGUUAAUAUCUUCUGGAGAUCCUCAUACAGACACACCCAGAAAUAAUGUUUUACCAGCAAUCUGGGCAUCCUCAGCCCAGUCAGGGUGACACAUAAAAUUAGCCCUUACAACAUUACUGCCAUUUUACAAUACAGUGGCAAUGUAUGAAAACGCUAGGUCCCCUACAUUCUUGGCAAUACUUGGUAUGGUCAGUCUUUUUCGUUUUAAUCAUUCUAAUGGGAAUGCUGUAAUAUCUCAUUGUGGUUUAAUUUGUAUUUUCCUCAUGAUAAUGAUAAAGAAUAUCUUUACAU